AACAUUCAGUAUUAAGGGUCUCUAUUGCUGCUGGUACUGAAGAUUAUGUAGAACUACAAACUGAAUUUAUGAAUAUAUAAAAUAAUCUAUGCACAUUAUGAAAAUAUUGAUUAUAAUAUUUCACUGAAGAUGUAAUAAUAAAAAUGUUUGCGAUUCUGGCAAUGUCCAGAAAAAUGAAGAUUUGUUACAUGGAUAACUAGUUCUACACUAUCUUGACUAGUCAGAGGCAUCUAAUAGAAAGAAUUCCCACAAAGGAAUUAUUUUACCUUAUUUUUAAUUUAUUCAGAUUCAUCCAGGAAGAAAAUUUAAUUAUACGAUAAAAGGUCACAUAUAACUGUGCAGCAAAUGGCACUAGAAAGAAAAGCAUCCUUCCCCACAUUAAGCUAAAUGAGAACAAUUAAAAAUAUGGUACAAAUUCCUUCCCAAAAGGGAUAACAUGAUUUCUAAGGCAAAACUAUUAUACGAAGAAGUAAGAUAUUGAUAUCAGAAGUUGGCUGGGAAGGUCUCAAAAAGCAAUAAUUUGACCCUGGAACACUACAGCCAUCAUAAAUUCAUGCUGAUUGCCAAAUCUCAGAAUUGCAGUCACAUUACUGCAGGAAAACUUUGACUAUCAUAAAUGUUCAAAGGGAGCAGAAGAAUAAAGGGAAAAAAGAUAAUUUGAAAAUGACAAAUUCCCCAAAAUUUAAAGAAAACGAUCCGGAAAUUGCAAAAGAAAAAAAAAUGUAAUACACACAAAAAAGUCAACAUUUGUACUGGAAAAAUAAAGGUUGCAAAUUCCAUAGAAACAUAAA